rnacentral:rRNA from 1 species
ACGGAAGGCAGCAGUGGGGAAUAUUGCACAAUGGGCGCAAGCCUGAUGCAGCAACGCCGCGUGAGGGAAGACGGUUUUCGGAUUGUAAACCUCUGUUCUUGGUGACGAAGAAGUGACGGUAGCCAAGGAGAAAGCCACGGCUAACUACGUGCCAGCAGCCGCGGUAAUACGUAGGUGGCAAGCGUUGUCCGGAAUUACUGGGUGUAAAGGGAGCGCAGGCGGGACAGCAAGUUGGAUGUGAAAUACCGAGGCUUAACCACGGAGCUGCAUCCAAAACUGUUGUUCUUGAGUGAAGUAGAGGUAGGCGGAAUUCCGAGUGUAGCGGUGAAAUGCGUAGAUAUUCGGAGGAACACCAGUGGCGAAGGCGGCCUACUGGGCUUUAACUGACGCUGAGGCUCGGAAGUGUGGGGAGCAAACAGGAUUAGAUACCCUGGUA